UACGUAGGCAGCGAGCGUUGUUCGGAGUUACUGGGCGUAAAGGGUGUGUAGGCGGUUUUUUAAGUUUGGUGUGAAAUCUCCCGGCUCAACCGGGAGGGUGCGCCGAAUACUGAAUGACUAGAGUGUGGGAGAGGAAAGUGGAAUUCCUGGUGUAGCGGUGAAAUGCGUAGAUAUCAGGAGGAACACCGGUGGUGUAGACGGCUUUCUGGACCAUAACUGACGCUGAGACACGAAAGCGUGGGUAGCAAACAGG
rnacentral:rRNA from 1 species